AGUCCAUUUCCUGGUCUGUAGAGGAUCUAGAGGAACCUCAUUCCAGUGAUCUUGAAGACCUUACUCCUGCAGAUCAGCAGGUUCAAAGCCCUCCAGCUUCGGUCACAUUCCAGUCAGUCAGCAUCAGCUCACAACAGCAGAGUGGACUUGACAACAGAGGGUAAGUUUACUGCCCCAAACAUUACACACAAUACUGUCAAUGUUUGACACUUCAUGUCAUCUAUAAUUGUUAAUCUUUUACAUUCUGAGCUGGUAUGAAAUCGGCAAAAUGCUUGGUGAGGGAGGAUUCGGCUAUGUCUAUGAAGGGAAACGCUUGGAGAUUGUCGUUGAGGUGGCAGUGAAAAUUACCAACAAGCCAAGGAACAUGAAAUACAUCUAUGUUUUAAGUAGGCUACACUCACCGCGCAAACAUACUGACAACAUUUUUGUCCAAGACUGGACUAAAGUCCUUACUUGAAAAAACAGCUCCAUCUAACAAUGAUCUUUCUUCAGGCCUGGUCAUCCUGCACCUCUUCCAUUACAGGCUGGCUUUUAACUCCUUGUUAAUUAAGAGUCCAGAGUUACUGAGAUCAAUCAGCUGCUGGACUGGCAGGACCAGCUUGAAUGUUACAUCAUGGUCUCAGACCCUGCUAAGAUGUGUACAAUUAUACCAUGCUUCAGGGAGGCUUCGUGAGCGAGGUCACAGCACAGUUUAUCAUGGCACAGGCAACACAGGCCACUCACAUGUGCUGUCAAUGAGGAGUAUUUCACCGGGACAUAAAGAUGGAGAACCUUCUGAUCAACCCAGAAACGAUCGAGGUCAAACUGAUUGACUUUGGGUGUAGGGAUCUCCUGCAAGACUCUGGCUAUGAGCAAUGUUGUGUGAAAAUUUGUAGUAUUUUAAGCUUACGUCAAAGCAAAAUCUCAUUCCUUCGGGCACAUCAGAGUACUGCCCACCUGAGUACUACGUGGACAAACAGUACCAUAGGAAACCAACUAUUGUAUGGUCUCUGGGAAUGCUCUUGUUUUUGUUGGUCAAAGACAGAGCUGACUGGUUACAGCGUCUGGUUGAACAGUAAGAUGCCAUUCAUCACAACAAAGAAGACCAACUGUAAAUGAAAUCAUGCAAAACAAGGAAACAGAGGAACAGGUAAAACACUUAGGCCAAGUAGCUAUAUAAAAGAUGGAUAAUACAGAAAUUGUACUUUUUUUCUGAUUGUACAGUGUAGAAUGGUCAG
ensembl:lncRNA